rnacentral:rRNA from 1 species
AGUUGGUCUGAGAGGAUGAUCAGCAACACUGGGACUGAGACACUGCCCAGACUCCUACGGGAGGCUGCAGUCGAGAAUCAUUGUCAAUGCACGAAAGUGUGAACAUGCGACGCCGCGUGGAGGAAGACGGCCCUUGGGUUGUAAACUCCUGUCAGCAGGGAGUAAGGGUGGUAUAUUUAAUACAUAUGCCAUUUGAUAGUACCUGCAGAGGAAGUCACGGCUAACUCUGUGCCAGCAGCCGCGGUAAUACAGAGGUGGCGAACGUUGUUCGGAUUUACUGGGCGUAAAGGGUCCGCAGGCGGUCCGGUGUGUCAGAUGUGAAAGCCCACAGCUUAACUGUGGAAUUGCAUUUGAAACUGCCGGACUAGAGUACUGGAGGGGAGAAGGGAACACUUGGUGUAGCGGUGAAAUGCGUAGAUAUCAAGUGGAACACCGGCGGCGAAGGCGCUUCUCUGGACAGAUACUGACGCUCAUGGACGAAAGUUAGGGUAGCGAAAGGGAUUAGAUACCCCUGUAGUCCUAACCGUAAACGGUGUGCGCUAGGCGUGGGUGGCUUUACCCCCAUCCGUGCCUGAGUUAACGCAUUAAGCGCACCGCCUGGGGAGUACGGUCGCAAGAUUAAAACUCAAAGGAAUUGACGGGGACCCGCACAAGCGGUGGAGCAUGUGGCUUAAUUCGAUGCAACGCGAAGAACCUUACCUGGGCUUGACAUAUAGCUGCAUCCGACCCGAAAGGGACGGAGCCUUCGAGGGUGCUAUACAGGUGCUGCAUGGCUGUCGUCAGCUCGUGCCGUGAGGUGUUGGGUUAAGUCCCGCAACGAGCGCAACCCCUGUGUUUAGUUGCCAGCACGUAAUGGUGGGAACUCUAAACAGACUGCCUGUGAAAACAGGAGGAAGGUGGGGAUGACGUCAAGUCAGUAUGGUCCUUAUGUCCAGGGCUGCACACGUGCUACAAUGGGAUGUACAAUGGGAAGCUAAGCCGCGAGGUGGAGCAAAUCCUCAAAACAUCCCCCAGUUCGGAUUGUAGUCUGAAACUCGACUACAUGAAGUUGGAAUCGCUAGUAAAGGUAUAUCAGCUACGAUACCUUGAAUACGUUCCCGGGUCUUGUACACACCGCCCGUCACAUCAUGGAAGUGAGUUGCACCCGAAGUUGUUGAUCCAACCCGUUAAGGGAGGAAGGCACCUAAGGUGUGAUUCAUAACUGGGAUGAAGUCGUAACAAGGUA